GUCUCUAAAUUUUUAAAGCUUUUGAAUUUAGUUAUAGAACUCGAAGAUAAAGACACCAGUCACAAUCUGAUUGGCUUUGAUUCAAUGACCCUGCAUUCACCUGCCUCAGUCUUUUACUUCCUCAAAUCAAGUCAAAGCCGGCUUUGACUUAACGAUAUUAACAUUUGUGAUAAACAGUGAUAAGUCUGGUAACCAGAAAUCAGACACACUUCUGCCCUGGACAACUGAAAUCUUUGUCUGAUGCAGGAAGAAAUGGAGAAGACCAGAGCAUUGAGGGAAACACUGAUCUUUAUGAAAUUCUGCCUUCAUCCCCAAACACCGAGCCCCAGCGUGAACCAUCAGCUUGCUCCGGCUUGGGUCCCUGUCCUACGCCGGGUGGCAGUGUCGCUGAGAGGCACAGUGAUGCAGGUCCGGUUCUGGUCGGUGACUGGAGAUGCCCAGUGCAGCCCUGGAGGGACAUGGCGAGGCUGCAUGCACGUACCGGGGUGCAUGGCGCUGUGCUGUCUGCAGCGGCGCGGUUUGAUAAGAGGGUAACCUGCUCUACCCAGGUCCCCUGAGCCAAAAAAAAAAAAAAAAAAAAAAGUGUGUUUGCUAUUCCGUCGCCACCGCUGCUCGCGCUGACAGCAAAACCCCGGCCAGCCAGCGCUCCGAGAUGCAGAGACACACAGCGCAAAAAUCAACUUUUCAAAACUUGGUAAGGAGUUUUGCGAAACUUUUAAAUUUCGCUCGGGUCCCUGGCGGCCGCCAUCUUGGCUUUGGGAGGAAAUGGGUGGACCACGGCUUCACCAUAGGCUUUCACGCGUCCGGCGCCAUCUUUGUUUCGGGCAAAGAGGUCCCGCCUCCCGCACACCCAGCUGUCUCUCCACGUGCUCCCCUACCCCUUUCCCAAGCGGCUUUUCCAUGCUUUUUUCUCACUAUUUCCAAGCUCUCUCUUCCUGAUUUCUAUACACUCUACUCUUAUAUUUUAAAAUGCUUUAAAUCCCUUAUCUAAUGCUUUAUAUAAUUUUCUCUUUGGGUUUGCAUUUAUAAGUCUUAAUCAUAAUUAACUGUUUAUCUUAUCUUUUAGACUUAUCUUCAGACAACGACCCUCAUUUCAAGUUGAUAUGGAUUUUUAUAAAAAUUAAAAGUUACCUUUUACUAUCUUAUCAUUCAACCCUGCUUAAAGUAAAUUUUAUAUAAUAAUAAAAUUUCAAAGUUAUAAAUAUCUAUUCAAAUUAAGUUGGUUUAAAAUAUAAGACUGUUACUGUCUCCUACUAUAUGUUACUCAAAUAUAAUUUUAAAAUUGCUUUAUACUGUUCUGCUCAGGGGUUCAUUAUUACAUACAAAUUGUUUACCAAUAUUCUAAAUUAAGAUAUAUUAUUUUUACAGGUAUUUAUCUAUGUUAAAACUGGGUCAAUUUGCUAUAUCUCUACUAUCAAAAGGUUAAAAUAUACUUGGUUAAUUUUAAAUUUGGUUUAUGCUGUUCUGCUAAAUUGUUAAUUUUAAACUUAUAACUCAAGGGUUCGUUAUUAUGUACAAGUUGUUUACCAAUAUUCUAAAUUAAGAUCUAUUAAUUUUUUAAAAAUAUAUUUAUAUUAAAACUGGGUCAAUUUACUAUAUCUCUGCUAUCAAAAGGUUAAUGUAAGCUUGGUCUUAUUCUCUUAAAUUAUGUUAUUAAUCUAUAGUAUAGCCUUAGACUAUUACAAGCAAUAAACUUUUAUAUAUUAAAUCAUACAAAAACUCUUAUGCUUUCACUUUAAUAAAUUAUAUUCAUAACUUUUAAAGUCCUAACUUAAGCAAGGACAAAACCUAAAGUCUUGAUAUUUACUGGUUAACAAGUGCAGGUUAAUAGUCAUUUCAUACAGACUUAUAGUCUCACAGAUGCAAACAUGGUCUCACUGCAAUUUUUAAUAAACAGCUGAGGAUGGUCGUUGAGUCACCAUAUAGGAGUUGGUAAAAAUAGUGAGCUGUCCUGAAGGGCUCUAAGACCUAGCUGCUGGUGUUCCCGCAAGAGGUUUGCAUAGCCAAAAAUGUCCGUUCUGCCAGGUGACAUUUCAAAUGCAGCCAAAGUGGAUGCUGGUCCUGCUGCUGCAACAUGCCAAAGCUGGCUGCUGGCAAACUGGCCUCUGAAAGUCAAGGUGCUCCCAAGCAGGCUUAUCCUCUGUGCCCAGCCAUGGAGGUUCAACCAGCACAAGAGCACAGACCCUUCCAGCCUUCUAGCUCGUUGGCCUGGCAGAGGGCAGAUGGCUCCCGACUUAGCAACCUCCACAGCUCUCGCACAGGUCUGUUUUUGACCUCAGAAUGAGGUCCCAUGGACAUAUUGCCAACUUCUGUGUUGGGAGACUUCAAGUGCCUUCCCAGCUCUCUUCAUAUGCAGGAGAACCAGGCCUUAAGCCUAAGUCCUAGAACUGCUAUUUUCAGGCCUAGACACAGUCCAGACCCAAGAAACAGGCCUAAAUGAAACCUUUUACCAUCCCUUUAGCUAAAGGACAAUAAAUGUUAAUAGCAGUUUCAACUAUGUCUCAUGGUAAAUAACUAAAUACAAAUGUCCCUCUCAAAAACAUAUUUGAGAGAUGUCUUAAGGUUAAUAAAUACAAGUUAUACAUGUUUGAGAGUCUAAAAAUGUGUUUUAAGGUUGGUAAUGCAACUUAUAAAUAUUUGAGGGUUCUAAAAAUGUUUUAAGGUUCAUAAAUGCAAAUUAUAAAGGUUACAAGGUCUAAGGUGAUUUAAGGUAUCUUAUAUAGGUAAAAAGGCUUAAUAUUUCUUCCUGUUGUUAUGCUACUGUUGUAUUGACUGUCCAGAGUUUUGACCUUUAUUAAUAGGCCUUAAUUUAUUAAUCUAACUCUAAUACAAAAACAUUCCACUAUACCACUAUUCCACUAUUAUGGUCCUAAGCUCAAGAUUGCAAGCCUCCAUAAUGUGUAUGCUUAUACUAAAACUUAAGAUCAAGUGAGUUUCCCUUUUACUUCAUAAAAGGCUUUUGCCUUUUCAGAGUUCACCUUAAAAAUACUUAUGCUACUAACACAAAUAUGUAUGUCUACUGCCUUUUUCUUAAUGCAGAGUACAAUUGUGAUACUACAUGUCUAAAGUUUUACCUCCUUCUUAAAACUUAAAAGUAAUUCUUGUAAGCUGCAGAAAGUCCACCUAAAUCCACCUCUCAGGUCAAUUGGACUCCAGAUAAGUACUGCACUUAUUGUCUAUCUCAAAAGGUGAGACUCCUCCCCUUUCCCUGGUUUUGGGACUUCCUUUCCUGGCUACCAGACUGCUGUUUACUGCAUGCAACCACUGGCUAGAUUGGUGAGUUCACUCCAUUUUCUCAGCAUAAAUACCUCUCUUGGUAGGGGAAGCUUGACUGCAGAGCUACGGCAACUUCCUACUAUCUUUUGAGAUGGAGGGACCCCCCCCUCAGCCGUAGCCUUAACUGUCUAGGCUUGACCCUCUAUGCUGACCUCCAUUUUAGGGCCUCACUCUCCCUUGGGCAGUACGUCCCCUCUCGCAUACGGUUCCUUCCCCCCGCCCCCUGCUCGCUUGUGGGAAGACCUAGCACUAGCACUAGGCAAACUGUCAUGCUCCAGCCGUGCCUCACUAAGCACCAAGUCCCGUCCCUGGCCAAGAACUGAUGAGCUCUUGGACAGGUAGCACCGCUCUUGCUCGGAGUCACAGCUUCCCAUUGGGACGCCUCUGGAAAGUUGGUGACUUCUCUGCCCCCAAUGGGAGAUUCCCAGAUGCUCGCGCUCCAGAUAGGAUCUCCUCUGGAGAAUUUCAGGUUUCUAUACCUAGUGCCAGCUGGCACCAGGGCCUCUAAGUUUUCACACUUCUGUAACCAAACCUCACCUCAAUGACGGAUCAAAACAAAGCCUUCUUUAAUAUUGCCAGUGAUUGGGUAAAUAAAGUCCCGUCCAGGUAGACAGAGGUUCCCAUGUACAAGCCUCAUCGACCCAAACCUUUCAAUGUAUACCUACAGGGUUUUCUCCAUACUCAACUUUAUCUUUUGCCUAUAUAUGUGUUUCAGUGUCCUGCCAGACACAGAUGUUUUCUAUAGCCACAACAGCGCCAAAGCAGCUACAGGUGUUCGACUCUGAUCUCACAGACUUCCAACAAGCUGCAGGUGUUCAGCUCUGACCUCACAGACUUCCAACAAGCUGGACCUGCACCUUCCCUCCCAGCCAUGGAUGUUCUUGCAGACCCUGGAAAGCAUCAAAGCAGCCUGUUCUUCCUGGACUUGGCCAACAUUUCAGCCUUUUUACCUCCCUACAGCGCCCCCAGUGUCAGCAGGAAGUAGCCAGAAGAGAAUCCACACCCGUUAUUCACUUGUUGUUAACAAAAGGCUGAAAUGGUGUGCUUCAGGACUAGGACAAGCAGCUCCAGGUUCUCCCAGCAUUCCCCAGUCCCUACCUGCUGCCUUGCAUGGCUGGCAACUCUCUCUGUUGACAACCCUCUACCCUAAAUUUUCCAGGGCAGAGACUUCCCUUACUCUUGACCUUGCAACCUGACCAUUUUGUUGCUAUAACUCUUCUCUCUCUCAACCUCUUGCAUGACAACCAAGAGCUGUUUCCAAUAAGCCUAAAUUUAUAUACUUUAACUUACCUUAUAAAAGGCUGCCCAAGCUCCCCAUUUUUUAAUUAUAGAAAAAGGGAGGAAUGUUAGUAUUUUGGAACACAACCUGCUUCUGGGUUGCCCAGCAUCCUAUGAUGUCAUCAUAUGUUGCCAGCCAGGUGGCCACACCUGGAAAGUGUGGUUAUUGUGCCCCCUUAAAAGGGCCGAUCCGACAUGUGGUCUCUCUCUUACACCCUCUCUUUACACUCUUCUCUUUCUCUCUCUCUCUCAGGGCACCCCCCUUUUUCCCUUCCCUUUCCCCCUCUCUUCCCCCACCAUGUCCUGCUACCCACUUUCUCCAUACCCCCCUAAUAAAUCUCUCACAGAGAAUAUAUCGGUUGUCCCCCUGCUUCUUCUUAUUUAUGAUUUUUAACAGUCACCAUUCCUAGGUUGGCCCUGGAGCUGUACAGAACUAGCUUGUCAAUGCAUGGGAUUUCUUGGGACCCUGUUCCAUCCAGUUGCCAGGUACUGAAGAAAUAAUGAACUCUCUUGGAGGCUAGAGGGAGCUCCAAUGGGGAGCUCAUGAGUAACAUUUCCCACCGGUUUGCCUGCCACCAACUAGACCCACCCACACUUACCUCCCCGGUGAUACUGUCGGAAAGAGAUACCAAACAUUAACAUACUAAUUUUAGGUGGCAAGAGCUCACAGUGGGGGAUGGCCUAAAAUAUUACUUUAGCUUCUGGAACAUUCUUCAUUGUAAUAUAUUUGCAAAGGUAAAUAAAUGAUAAAACUGCCCCAAGA